rnacentral:lncRNA from 1 species
CAUUUACAAAGCACUGUUCCUGAUUGCUACCAGUGCAGUGCCUGACCUGCCGUUCCAGUUGGGAGCUUACCUCCAGUCAACACUUACAACACAGCACUUUAAACCAACUCUUAACAGCCGUAACCAGAAAGAGGUGAAGCUACAACAUGCAGAUGAAACACCAGGGCAGCAAUAAAGCUCGUUGCCUGUCCUUAUUAUCUUACAGUUUCACCUUGAUUUCUCCACGGGCAGGUUCCAUUCUAACAGCUUCCAAGGGGUAUCUCACCACACUGGA